GGGUGGGGGUGGGGGGAAGUGGGGGUCAUGAAAAGUACAACUAAAUUAUUUCAUUGGAAAAAUUAUAAGAAGUUACUUUCUUUCUUUUCUUUUAUAAAGACACCUAUGUUUAGAUAGGAGUUUGGUGUUGACCCCUAUAUACUUGUGACUUAAAUUUAAUAGCUAUAUUAAUUAUAACAGGAGACUUUCGGAAAACAUUAGAGAUUAAGAAAUAAUUACAUG
rnacentral:lncRNA from 1 species